GUCAGUAGUGAAAUCCAUGGGCUUAACCCAUGAACUGCUAUUGAAACUGUCGAGCUUGAGUGAAGUAGAGGUAGGCGGAAUUCCCGGUGUAGCGGUGAAAUGCGUAGAGAUCGGGAGGAACACCAGUGGCGAAGGCGGCCUACUGGGCUUUAACUGACGCUGAGGCACGAAAGCGUGGGUAGCAAACAGGAUUAGAUACCCUGGUAGUCCACGCUGUAAACGAUGAUUACUAGGUGUGGGUGGACUGACCCCAUCCGUGCCGGAGUUAACACAAUAAGUAAUCCACCUGGGGAGUACGGCCGCAAGGCUGAAACUCAAAGGAAUUGACGGGGGCCCGCACAAGCAGUGGAGUAUGUGGAUUAAUUCGAUGCAACGCGAAGAACCUUACCAGGUCUUGACAUCCCGCUAACGAGGUAGAGAUACGUUAGGUGCCCUUCGGGGAAAGCGGAGACAGGUGGUGCAUGGUUGUCGUCAGCUCGUGUCGUGAGAUGUUGGGUUAAGUCCCGCAACGAGCGCAACCCUUACUGUUAGUUGCUACGCAAGAGCACUCUAGCAGGACCGCCGUUGACAAAACGGAGGAAGGUGGGGAUGAUGUCAAAUCAUCAUGCCCCUUAUGACCUGGGCCUCACACGUACUUCAAUGGCCAUUAACAGAGGGAGGCAAAGCCGCGAGGCAGAGCAAAACCCUAAAAAUGGUCCCAGUUCGGAUCGCAGGCUGCAACCCGCCUGCGUGAAGUUGGAAUUGCUAGUAAUCGCGGAUCAGCAUGCCGCGGUGAAUACGUUCCCGGGCCUUGCACUCACCGCCCGUCAA
rnacentral:rRNA from 1 species